GAUGAACGCUGGCGGCGUGCCUAAUACAUGCAAGUCGAGCGAACAGAUGAGGAGCUUGCUCCUCUGACGUUAGCGGCGGACGGGUGAGUAACACGUGGAUAACCUACCUAUAAGACUGGGAUAACUUCGGGAAACCGGAGCUAAUACCGGAUAAUAUAUUGAACCGCAUGGUUCAAUAGUGAAAGACGGUUUUGCUGUCACUUAUAGAUGGAUCCGCGCCGCAUUAGCUAGUUGGUAAGGUAACGGCUUACCAAGGCAACGAUGCGUAGCCGACCUGAGAGGGUGGUCGGCCACACUGGAACUGAGACACGGUCCAUGCUCCUACGGGAGGCAGCAGUAGGGAAUCUUCCGCAAUGGGCGAAAGCCUGACGGAGCAACGCCGCGUGAGUGAUGAAGGUCUUCGGAUCGUAAAACUCUGUUAUUAGGGAAGAACAAAUGUGUAAGUAACUAUGCACGUCUUGACGGUACCUAAUCAGAAAGCCCCGGCUAACUACGUG
rnacentral:rRNA from 1 species